AGGAUGAACGCUGGCGGCGUGCCUAACACAUGCAAGUCGAACGUCCUGUCUCGCAAGAGGCAGGGAGUGGCGGACGGGUGAGUACCACGUGAAUAAUCUACCUCCGAGUGGGGAAUAACUGAGAGAAAUCUUAGCUAAUACCGCAUAACACUUACGAGUCAAAGCAGCAAUGCGCUUGGAGAGGAGUUCGCGGCCGAUUAGUUAGUUGGCGGGGUAAUGGCCCACCAAGACGAUGAUCGGUA
rnacentral:rRNA from 1 species